rnacentral:rRNA from 1 species
CCUACGAGAGGCAGCAGUGGGGGAUAUUGCACAAUGGGGGAAACCCUGAUGCAGCGACGCCGCGUGGGCGAAGAAGUAUUUCGGUAUGUAAAGCCCUAUCAGCAGGGACGAAGAAAUGCCGGUACCUGAGUAAGAAGCACCGGCUAAAUACGUGCCAGCAGCCGCGGUAAUACGUGUGGUGCAAGCGUUAUCCGGAUUUACUGGGUGUAAAGGGAGCGCAGGCGGCACGGCAAGCCCGGUGGGAAAGUCCGCGGACCAACCGCGGGACUGCAGUUGGAACUAUCGGGCUGGAGUGCCGGAGAGGUAGGCGGAAGGCCUGGUGUAGCGGUGAAAUGCAUAGAGAUUAGGAGGAACACCGGUGGCGAAGGCGGCCUACUGGACGGUGACUGACGCUGAGGCACGAAAGCGUGGGGAGCAAACAGGAUUAGAUACCCGGGUAGUC